CCAGACUCCUACGGGAGGCAGCAGUAGGGAAUCUUCCGCAAUGGACGCAAGUCUGACGGAGCAACGCCGCGUGAGUGAAGAAGGUUUUCGGAUCGUAAAACUCUGUUGUUAGAGAAGAACAAGUGCUAGAGUAACUGUUAGCGCCUUGACGGUAUCUAACCAGAAAGCCACGGCUAACUACGUGCCAGCAGCCGCGGUAAUACGUAGGUGGCAAGCGUUGUCCGGAUUUAUUGGGCGUAAAGCGAGCGCAGGCGGUUCCUUAAGUCUGAUGUGAAAGCCCCCGGCUCAACCGGGGAGGGUCAUUGGAAACUGGGGAACUUGAGUGCAGAAGAGGAGAGUGGAAUUCCAUGUGUAGCGGUGAAAUGCGUAGAUAUAUGGAGGAACACCAGUGGCGAAGGCGACUCUCUGGUCUGUAACUGACGCUGAGGCUCGAAAGCGUGGGUAGCAAACAGGAUUAGAUACCCUGGUAGUCCACGCCGUAAACGAUGAGUGCUAAGUGUUGGAGGGUUUCCGCCCUUCAGUGCUGCAGUUAACGCAUUAAGCACUCCGCCUGGGGAGUACGACCGCAAGGUUGAAACUCAAAGGAAUUGACGGGGGCCCGCACAAG
rnacentral:rRNA from 1 species